rnacentral:tRNA from 1 species
GGUAGUGUGACCUAGUGGACAGAGCACUAGACUGGGACUCAGCAGAUCUGGGUUCUAUUCCCAGCUCAGCCA